rnacentral:lncRNA from 1 species
ACAUCAUGUUUUAUGAACAUGUCAUGUUCUAAGGAACCAAGUCCCAUAAAAGAACACUAAGGAAAUAUUUAGAAGCAGAACUUCAAAACUUUCUGUCCUUCUGUUUUGCCCACAUUUGGGAGAGGGGAGGGGAUGGUGAAAUGCAGUCAGUUAUAGGCAUUCAUGAAAAGGCUGAAUCCCUUUCAUGUUUGUAAAAUUGAACAUACGUAAUAAAAUAGAGAAAACACUAAAGCCACAGAGGCAGCUGCACAAACUCUUUUCAACUGAUUCUGAAGAGAUUUUAAGCUCAAAGUAGUCCUGACCGAUAACUU